rnacentral:rRNA from 1 species
UACAGAGGGGGCGAGCGUUGUUCGGAAUUACUGGGCGUAAAGGGCGCGUAGGCGGCCAACUAAGUCAGACGUGAAAUCCCUCGGCUCAACCGGGGAACUGCGUCUGAUACUGGAUGGCUUGAAUUCGGGAGAGGGAUGCGGAAUUCCAGGUGUAGCGGUGAAAUGCGUAGAUAUCUGGAGGGAUACCGGUGGCGAAGGCGGCAUCCUGGACCGGCAUUGACGCUGAGGAGCGAAAGCGUGGGGAGCGAACAGG